UUUUUGAGCCGUGUUAUAGUUAAAAUUCUCUCUUCCUUUUUUUCACUCAUUAAACCCAUGAAACCAGUACAACCUCUUGCUGUUUCAAAAUAAAUGUGUCACAAUGAUCUUUUAAAGCCCAGUUUUUGUUUUUUUUUGUUGUGUUUUUUUUUUUUCAGGCACUACUGCACCUAUGGGUCAUGAUUGUUCUGUUGACCUAUUCUCCAGAGAUGCUGAGAUCCCCGACCAUCCUGCAGGGACAUAGAACUCAGGCCUGAACGAUGUCAUGUAGGAUUUUUAUAUUAUAUAUAUAUAUGUAUAGUGUGUUGGUAUGUUGUUUUGAUCUGGGUAAGGUGAAGUGUUUUCUCUUUGUCAUCAAAGACCAGCCUGGUGCCAGAUUGUGUUGUGCUGUUCAGACCUGCCUACCAUGCACACAACUUUAGGUCAAAAGUAUGCUGGGUGGAGGGGGCCUUUAAAAUAACACACAUAGGCUUUUUAAAUCGGCGAAUUGUGGCUUUUGACUCAACCGUCAGAAGUUGGAGCUGAGCUAUCAGAGGAGGAAAAUCUAUCUCUCAGCUCAGCCGGUAACCCUAAAGUCACAGUACUCUCUCCAGCUACAGCCGGUAACCCUAAAGUCACAGAAAUCUCUCACUACACGCCGGUAACCCUAAAGUCACCAGUACUCUCUCUCAGCUACAGCCGGUAACCCUAAAGUCACAGUACUAUCGCUCAGCUAACUAUCGCUCAGCUACACGCGGUAACCCUAAAGUCACAAUACUCUCUCAGCUACAGCCAGUAACCCUAAGUCACAGUACUAUCGCCUCAGCUAACUAUCGCUCAGCUACAGCCGGUAACCCUAAAGUCACAGUACUCUCUCAGCUACAGCCAGUAACCCUAAAGUCACAGUACUAUCGCUCAGCUAACUAUCGCUCAGCUACAGCCGGUAACCCUAAAGUCACAGUACUCUCUUCAGCUACAGCCAGUAACCCUAAGUCACAGUACUAUCGCUCAGCUAACUAUCGCUCAGCUACAGCCGUUAACCCUAAAGUCACAGUACUCUCUCCCACGCACAGUAAACCCUAAAGUCACAGUACACGCUCAGCUAAAUCGCCAGCUACAGCCGGUAACCCUAAAGUCACAGUACUCUCUAGCUACAGCCGGUAACCCUAAAGUCACAGUACUCUCAUACAGCGUAACCCAAAGUCAGUACUCUCUAGCUACAGCCGGUACCCAAAGUCACAGUACUCUCUCAGCUACAGCCGGUAACCCUAAAGUCACAGUACUCUCAGUACAGCGGUAACCCUAAAGUCACAGAACCAUUUCUCAGGCUGGAUGGAGGUCUCCGCCACGCCCGUUGAUACCACUGAUGUGUGAGGGGGGAAAAAAGGAGAACGAAUUGUUUUGCUUAAUUAAUACAUUUUCCAAAUUGUGUGUUUAGUCAAGCACAUAACCACUAUUAUUUUGUAGUUAGCGCCUUGGUUAAGGCGUCAUUACGACGAACGUAAGUUAGCUACAGCAUGUAUUAAACGAACCGAGAACAUUCUUGCAUGCACACGUUUUUGUUCUCCGUAACACGAGAGCGUUGACGAGCGAAGGGGGGGGGGGGAAAGGGGGGGGGGGGAAAUGUGCGCAUCGUUGCGCGGAUAGGAAACGGUCAUGGCAGAGAGAGCUCCUCCACCCGGUACCGUCCUUCACAGAAAGUUAUGUUAAGACGUUUUAACGAUUACUAGGCGAAUGUUAAUGGAUCCGUUUUUUUGAUCUGUCCUCUUGAUUAUAGCUAGAUGUCAACAGAAGGCUGCUAAUGCUGUAGUAAAUCAGUUCACCAAUGACAACGAGGCAUGUUGAAUGAAUGGUAGUCUAGUAGUCAGACCUGAUGGAUGAGAUCAGGGAUCGAGAUCUGGAAUCCAGUUGAGGUGGCUCUAAUCCAGUUGAGGUGGCUCUAAUCCAGUUGAGGUGACUCUAAUCCAGUUGAGGUGGCUCUAAUCCAGUUGAGGUGGCUCUAAUCCAGUUGAGGUGGCUCUAAUCCAGUUGAGGUGGCUCUAAUUCAGUUGUUUUAUGUUCCAUAUAGCCGACAGUAAACUAGACCUAAUACAUUGCAUCCAGUAAUUGAAUUAUUCAGAAAUCUCCCCAUAACAAAAUGAAAACGCCAGUUUACACUUUCACUAGACUCUAUCCACAUCGAUUAAUUAGAAUUUCCCCUAAAUUGAACCUAGAAAAAAAUGUGAAUGUGUCAUUGUGACCACCUCAAUUUGAUUUAGGAUCAAACACAAGACUACAUUUUUAUAUAAUAUAAGACUAGGUUUCAAGAAAAGGCAGUUUUAAAGCUUUUUAAAAAAAAAAAGUUAAUAUAUCGUUAAUGGGGUCUGUGGUGAAGUGAUACUUCAAGGUUGGCAGGUCUGUGUUUUGCCAGUGCCGUUCUCCGUUGGCAUGACAAUGACCAUAGGACUUGGCUAGAAAGCACACCUAGAUCUGAGACCAAAGGCUAGUUGGGAGUAGGGAUGGAGCAAGCUACUGAUUUAAUGACUCGAUAGGCACAGAACUGACAUGUUAGCUACUCUAUGGGACACGGACUGACUUAGGAUCACUUUUCCCUGUUAUCCACCUCCUAAGGGUUGCACAAUUCUUGUAACUUUACCCAAAAUUUCAAGGUUUUCCAGACAUUCUCUCUGGCGGUUU
rnacentral:lncRNA from 1 species